AACGAACGCUGGCGGCAUGCCUAACACAUGCAAGUCGAACGAGACCUUCGGGUCUAGUGGCGCACGGGUGCGUAACGCGUGGGAAUCUGCCCUUGGGUUCGGAAUAACAGUUAGAAAUGACUGCUAAUACCGAAUGAUGUCUUCGGACCAAAGAUUUAUCGCCCAGGGAUGAGCCCGCAUCGGAUUAGCUAGUUGGUGAGGUAAAGGCUCACCAAGGCGACGAUCCGUAGCUGGUCUGAGAGGAUGAUCAGCCACACUGGGACUGAGACACGGCCCAGACUCCUACGGGAGGCAGCAGUGGGGAAUAUUGGACAAUGGGCGAAAGCCUGAUCCAGCAAUGCCGCGUGAGUGAUGAAGGCCUUAGGGUUGUAAAGCUCUUUUACCCGGGAUGAUAAUGACAGUACCGGGAGAAUAAGCCCCGGCUAACUCCGUGCCAGCAGCCGCCGUAA
rnacentral:rRNA from 1 species